UGAGUUCCCCCUCGAGUUACAAACACGAGAAGUUGUGUGGUCGAACAAACCUCAAGCCCUUCCAUUUCUGUGACCCUGGUAGAGCGGCUCAGGUCCCCUCCAGAGCCAGAGGCCAGACUAAAGGGCAGAAGGGCGGGGAAUGCUAUCAGGCCUCCCACUACCACACAAAAGAAAGAGAUCUCGGUUUUUCUCCUUGAGAGGAAAAUAAAAACUGAUAAGAAGAAAAAACCCCACAGAAAUAAGAAUGUUCCAGGGAGGUUUGAAGAGGGAACUUCCUGCAAUUGGGGUGGGGGGCCCGUUUUCCUGCUUCCUAAAAGGACAUGUGGGGCUCCUCUGAAAAACCCCAUCUGCUCCGUGGGGAACCCAGGAUGCAGAGCUAGACUUCGUUCAGUUGAUCGAUGAAGGACACAAGCCAGCCCACCGUGAGGUCAACACGAUCGAUGCGGACCUCCAGGACUGUCCGCUCUCGGAAACGGAGAAGUAGCGGUGCCUGGUCACGCCCAGAAGAUUUGGGGAUUUGGGCUUUCUCCAGCCGGGCUCUGGUUCCAGAACCAGAGAAAGGAUGGGGGUGGGGCGGGCGGGAAGACUCAAAAAGCCCCGUCAGGAGAGCUGGGGCUGGGAGAGCAGCUCUCUUGCACCGGAAAGGUGUGCAGGGCUGUUUCCUUACGAAGGAGAGAGGGCGUAGGAGCGCCAAGCUGGAUUUCGUUCUGGAAUGGCUCGCCUGGGAUUUGGACCGCGGGAUCGCUGCGUUUUGAGCCCUCUGUCCCUUGCCCGGACUAGAAUCCGAGAAAUGGGUUUGUUAGAGUAUUUCUGAAUCCCCAGGAGGACGACACUGUCUGCUCAUGGAGGACAGUGACCCAAGAGAUCAGGCAUCUUCUCCGU